CUCAUGUUCUGAGGGAGCCUGUGUGUUUAGGGGGAUGUGAGCACAUCUUCUGUAGCUGAUGGACUCACUUUGUAUAAUAUAUCAGUGACAAAUCUGCUGGAGCAUAACCAACUCCAUGAAAUUUAAUUGCGUAAGUGACUGCAUUGGAACCGGAUGUCCAGUGUGUUAUACCCCAGCCUGGAUACAAGAUGUGAAGAUAAAUAGACAAUUGGACAGCAUGAUCCAGCUUUGUAGUAAGCUUCGGAAUUUGCUACAUGAUGAUAAGCUUUCAGG